rnacentral:lncRNA from 1 species
GCCAGAUGUCCUCUGUAGCAAGAGGCAGGACAAACAGUGAGGACUGCACCAACACUCACCGGGUGACCCCUUUGCUUUGGAAACUUACUCAGGGUGAAAGGAAUUCCGAUUUUAAACAGCAUCUCUUUGUGUGGCCUGUUUGAGGCACCACACAGAGCUUGCUGGAGCAGCUCUGUUGACCGCUGACCCUUGGCCUGCUAACUGAAACAAGGUUUCUGGUAUAGAGGAUGUUUUAAUUUGAGAGAAGUUUCCACCUACAAAAACACAUAUUUGUCCGGGCAUGGUGGCUCACGCCUGUAAUCCCAGCACUUUGGGAGGCUGAGGCAGGAGGAUCAUGAGGUCAAGAGAUCUAGACCAUCCUGGCCAACAUGGCGAAACCCCGUCUCUACUAAAAAUAAAAAAAUUAGCUGGGCAUGGUGGCGCAUGACUGUAGUCCCAGCUACUUGGGAGGCUGAGGCAGGAGAAUCUCUUGAACCCCGAGUUCAGAGUCAGUCAGUUGAGAUCGCGCCACUGCAUUUUAGCCUGGUGACAGAGCGAGACUCCGUCUCAAAAAAACAAAAACAAAAAACCACAUUUAUACCUUUGGAAACAUUAAGCCUCCAACUGUGAGAACGAAGAUUCAUAUUUAAAGGGAAAUGUGAGAUUCACAAGUGAGGCUGCUGCCCCAGUUUCAUGGAUGCUGGCAGAAGACUUAAGAUUUCUGAAUCAGAGACAGAAGACUUCAUUUAUUUGUCACAGCUAAAGCAAUGGCCAGUGUCAGUGUAUUUGCACUGGUGCCUCAAGCCCUGAUGCCCACGGGGUGAUGCAGAGACCCUAUGACUCCCGCACAUGCAUUGGGUCAAGUCACAGUAGAGGACCACUGAGCUGGGCACCAUGUGGACCUAUAGCAGGCAGCAGGCAAGCCCUCUCCUUUGAGGUUCCUCCCUGCAACUACGACCCCGAAAAAUGGAUCCAGUAAAGAAGAGUCAAGGCUUUAUAGUCUUGGUGCACCCAGUAAGACCUGUAGGAGAACAGGAAGCCUGUGGAGGACUGUUUCUUCCAAAAGUUUCCAAGUGUUAGCUCUUACACAUGUAUAAACAACACUGCAAUUUGUCUCCUUGCACCGUACAUCCACGAAGCAGAUUUGCUUCUUGCCAAAUUAUUUCCCUCAGUGAUUUCAGGAACUGACAAUUCCCAGUCGCAUAUAGGAAUUUUCUUGCGUCUUCUUUUCCUGACUAACUCUUGCGUUGUCAGACACUUUCAUUUGUGCUAAGCUGAUAAGUAUCAAACGAUGAUGCAGGCUAUUCAUUAUGUGUGUCCUUGAUUACUGAUGAGUUUGAGCAAUUGUCAUUUGUUGGACUGAUCGUUCAAUUUCCUCUUCGGUCCUUGGCCUUUUCAUAUAUUUUGCCUUUUCUUGUAGGUGUGUCCUUUUCAAAUUGAUUUUUUUGGUGUUUUUGGUAUAUCCUGUGUACUAAUUCUUUGUCAUUUAUAUGCAUUAAUAAUAUCUCCUUUCACUGUGUGGCUUGUCUUCUCAAUUUGUUUUUGGGUUUUUGUUUCAGAGAACAUUUUAUAAGCUUUAAAUAAUAAAGUUUAUUUAUUUUUAA